GACGAACGCUGGCGGCGUGCUUAACACAUGCAAGUCGAACGAAGAGCGAUGGAAGCUUGCUUCUAUCAAUCUUAGUGGCGAACGGGUGAGUAACGCGUAAUCAACCUGCCCUUCAGAGGGGGACAACAGUUGGAAACGACUGCUAAUACCGCAUACGAUCUAAUCUCGGCAUCGAGGAUAGAUGAAAGGUGGCCUCUACAUGUAAGCUAUCACUGAAGGAGGGGAUUGCGUCUGAUUAGCUAGUUGGAGGGGUAACGGCCCACCAAGGCGAUGAUCAGUAGCCGGUCUGAGAGGAUGAACGGCCACAUUGGGACUGAGACACGGCCCAGACUCCUACGGGAGGCAGCAGUGGGGAAUCUUCCGCAAUGGACGAAAGUCUGACGGAGCAACGCCGCGUGAGUGAUGACGGC
rnacentral:rRNA from 1 species